rnacentral:rRNA from 1 species
AGCGAACGCUGGCGGCAGGCUUAACACAUGCAAGUCGAACGGACCCUUCGGGUUAGUGGCGGACGGGUGAGUAACACGUGGGAAUGUGCCCUUAGGUUCGGAACAACACAGGGAAACUUGUGCUAAUACCGGAUGUGCCCUUCGGGGUAAGGAUUUAUUGUCCUUGGUAGCAGCCCGCCGUCUGAUUAGCUAGUUGGUGAGGUAAAGGACUCACCAAGGCGACGAUCAGUAGCUGGUCUGAGAGGAUGGCCAGCCACAUUGGG